UACGUACGUGGCGAGCGUUAUCCGGAAUUACUGGGCGUAAAGGGCUCGUAGGUGGCCAACUAAGUCAGACGUGAAAUCCCUCAGCUUAACUGGGGAACUGCGUCUGAUACUGGAUGGCUUGAGUUUGGGAGAGGGAUGCGGAAUUCCAGGUGUAGCGGCGAAAUGCGUUGAUAUCCUAAGGAACACCGGUGGCGAAAGCGGCGUACUGGGUCUUAUCUGACGCUGAGGCACGAAAGCUAGGGUAGCGAACGGG
rnacentral:rRNA from 1 species